CGUUGUUCGGAAUUACUGGGGGUAAAGCGCGUGUAGGCGGCUUGGCAAGUCGGGUGUGAAAGCCCCGGGCUCAACCUGGGAAUUGCAUUCGAGACUGCAUUGCUGGAGUACGGAAGAGGAAGGCGGAAUUCCCGGUGUAGCGGUGAAAUGCGUAGAUAUCGGGAGGAACAUCAGUGGCGAAGGCGGCCUUCUGGUCCAGUACUGACACUCAAGUGCGAAAGCGUGGGGAGCAAACAGG
rnacentral:rRNA from 1 species